rnacentral:rRNA from 1 species
AGCUCUCUGCUAAAGGUUACUGAAGUAUAGAGGGUGAAUUCUGCCCAAUGGUUGUAUAGUGAAACUGAGGACUAACGUCUAAAGCGAAACCCAACUGAAUGGCCGCGGUAACUCUGACCGUGAUAAUGUAGCACAAUAAAUAGCCAAUUAAUUGUUGGCGGGUAUGAAUGGAACCACGAGGGUCUUACUGUCUCAAGAGGAAAGCCGAUGAAAUUAUAGUUGUAGUGAAGAUACUACAUAAACAUUGUAAGACGAAAAGACCCUAUCGAGCUUUACUGGAUACCGAUAGCGUUAAUUUAAAAUGAUCGAUACUAAGUAUCCUAAUUUUGAAUUAAUAAAUUUUGUUGGUAGGACAGUUUAGUUGGGGCGACUACCUUUGAAUAAGAAACGAAGGCGAGCUUAUGGUAUAUAAAGCUAAUCUCAUUAGCCUGACAGUGAGGGGGACACCCCUAGCUGGCACAAGGACUACGUCCUAUGUGGGCGAUAAUGACCCGAUAUGAUUGUCCAAAAUAAAUAUCGAAAGCGGAUAAAAGCUACCGUAGGGAUAACAGCGUAAUAUUGUCGGAGAGUUCUUAUCGAGGACAGUGUUUGCGACCUCGAUGUUGAAUUGCGGUGCCCUGGUGCUGUAGAAGGUACCUUAGGUUGGUCUGUUCGACCAUGAAUACCGU